GGGUUGUGAGGUUAAGCGACUAAGCGUACACGGUGGAUGCCCUGGCAGUCAGAGGCGAUGAAGGGCGUGCUAAUCUGCGAUAAGCGCCGGUAAGGUGAUAUGAACCGUUAUAACCGGCGAUACCCGAAUGGGGAAACCCAGUGUGACUCGUCACACUAUCAUUAACUGAAUCCAUAGGUUAAUGAGGCGAACCGGGGGAACUGAAACAUCUAAGUACCCCGAGGAAAAGAAAUCAACCGAGAUUCCCCCAGUAGCGGCGAGCGAACGGGGAGGAGCCCAGAGCCUGAAUCAGCAUGUGUGUUAGUGGAAGCGUCUGGAAAGGCGCGCGAUACAGGGUGACAGCCCCGUACACAAAAGCGCAUGUGCUGUGAGCUCGAUGAGUAGGGCGGGACACGUGGUAUCCUGUCUGAAUAUGGGGGGACCAUCCUCCAAGGCUAAAUACUCCUGACUGACCGAUAGUGAACCAGUACCGUGAGGGAAAGGCGAAAAGAACCCCGGCGAGGGGAGUGAAAAAGAACCUGAAACCGUGUACGUACAAGCAGUGGGAGCACAGGUUUACCUGUGUGACUGCGUACCUUUUGUAUAAUGGGUCAGCGACUUAUAUUCUGUAGCAAGGUUAACCGAAUAGGGGAGCCGGAGGGAAACCGAGUCUUAAUUGGGCGUUAAGUUGCAGGGUAUAGACCCGAAACCCGGUGAUCUAGCCAUGGGCAGGUUGAAGGUUGGGUAACACUAACUGGAGGACCGAACCGACUAAUGUUGAAAAAUUAGCGGAUGACCUGUGGCUGGGGGUGAAAGGCCAAUCAAACCGGGAGAUAGCUGGUUCUCCCCGAAAGCUAUUUAGGUAGCGCCUCGUGAAUUCAUCUCCGGGGGUAGAGCACUGUUUCGGCUAGGGGGCCAUCCCGGCUUACCAACCCGAUGCAAACUGCGAAUACCGGAGAAUGUUAUCACGGGAGACACACGGCGGGUGCUAACGUCCGUCGUGAAGAGGGAAACAACCCAGACCGCCAGCUAAGGUCCCAAAGUCAUGGUUAAGUGGGAAACGAUGUGGGAAGGCCCAGACAGCCAGGAUGUUGGCUUAGAAGCAGCCAUCAUUUAAAGAAAGCGUAAUAGCUCACUGGUCGAGUCGGCCUGCGCGGAAGAUGUAACGGGGCUAAACCAUGCACCGAAGCUGCGGCAGCGACACUGUGUGUUGUUGGGUAGGGGAGCGUUCUGUAAGCCUGCGAAGGUGGCCUGUGAGGGUUGCUGGAGGUAUCAGAAGUGCGAAUGCUGACAUAAGUAACGAUAAAGCGGGUGAAAAGCCCGCUCGCCGGAAGACCAAGGGUUCCUGUCCAACGUUAAUCGGGGCAGGGUGAGUCGACCCCUAAGGCGAGGCCGAAAGGCGUAGUCGAUGGGAAACGGGUUAAUAUUCCCGUACUUGGUGUUACUGCGAAGGGGGGACGGAGAAGGCUAUGUUGGCCGGGCGACGGUUGUCCCGGUUUAAGCGUGUAGGUGUGUGUUCCAGGUAAAUCCGGUUCACUUUAACACUGAGGCGUGACGACGAGGCACUACGGUGCUGAAGCAACAAAUGCCCUGCUUCCAGGAAAAGCCUCUAAGCAUCAGGUAACAUCAAAUCGUACCCCAAACCGACACAGGUGGUCAGGUAGAGAAUACCAAGGCGCUUGAGAGAACUCGGGUGAAGGAACUAGGCAAAAUGGUGCCGUAACUUCGGGAGAAGGCACGCUGACACGUAGGUGAAGUGAUUUACUCAUGGAGCUGAAGUCAGUCGAAGAUACCAGCUGGCUGCAACUGUUUAUUAAAAACACAGCACUGUGCAAACACGAAAGUGGACGUAUACGGUGUGACGCCUGCCCGGUGCCGGAAGGUUAAUUGAUGGGGUCAGCGCAAGCGAAGCUCCUGAUCGAAGCCCCGGUAAACGGCGGCCGUAACUAUAACGGUCCUAAGGUAGCGAAAUUCCUUGUCGGGUAAGUUCCGACCUGCACGAAUGGCGUAAUGAUGGCCAGGCUGUCUCCACCCGAGACUCAGUGAAAUUGAACUCGCUGUGAAGAUGCAGUGUACCCGCGGCAAGACGGAAAGACCCCGUGAACCUUUACUAUAGCUUGACACUGAACAUUGAGCCUUGAUGUGUAGGAUAGGUGGGAGGCUUUGAAGUGUGGACGCCAGUCUGCAUGGAGCCGACCUUGAAAUACCACCCUUUAAUGUUUGAUGUUCUAACGUGGACCCGUUACCCGGGUUGCGGACAGUGUCUGGUGGGUAGUUUGACUGGGGCGGUCUCCUCCUAAAGAGUAACGGAGGAGCACGAAGGUUGGCUAAUCCUGGUCGGACAUCAGGAGGUUAGUGCAAUGGCAUAAGCCAGCUUGACUGCGAGCGUGACGGCGCGAGCAGGUGCGAAAGCAGGUCAUAGUGAUCCGGUGGUUCUGAAUGGAAGGGCCAUCGCUCAACGGAUAAAAGGUACUCCGGGGAUAACAGGCUGAUACCGCCCAAGAGUUCAUAUCGACGGCGGUGUUUGGCACCUCGAUGUCGGCUCAUCACAUCCUGGGGCUGAAGUAGGUCCCAAGGGUAUGGCUGUUCGCCAUUUAAAGUGGUACGCGAGCUGGGUUUAGAACGUCGUGAGACAGUUCGGUCCCUAUCUGCCGUGGGCGCUGGAGAACUGAGGGGGGCUGCUCCUAGUACGAGAGGACCGGAGUGGACGCAUCACUGGUGUUCGGGUUGUCAUGCCAAUGGCACUGCCCGGUAGCUAAAUGCGGAAGAGAUAAGUGCUGAAAGCAUCUAAGCACGAAACUUGCCCCGAG
rnacentral:rRNA from 3 species